rnacentral:tRNA from 1 species
ACCCGAGUGGCUCAGUUGGUUGAGCAUCUGACUCUCGGUUUCAGCUCAGGUAUGAUCUCACAGUUCGUGGGUUCAAGCCCCGCAUCGGGCU